CUUUUAAUUUUGAAUUUUUAAAAGGACAUGAUUUGUUGUAGAUGCCAAGUUAUAUGAAUAAAUUAUGUGUAGUAAAAUACAUCUCAAGAAGGACCCUUAAGCCGAAUCAAAAUAGAAGCCAUCAAAUAUGUUUUUCUUAAAGUUACGUUUCGGGUAAGCUGACUUCGGGAGGCCAUAACCUCUUUAUAAUUUGAGAAUUUGGGAAAACUCUCAACAUGAAAGUUGUAGAUAAUUGAAAUAUCUUUCCAACCAUAGGUCGUGGGACGAAAUGUGAUAUCGGAGUAAUAAGAUAUAGACGUUUUAAAUCUGACAGGCCAAACUAAAUAGUGAAUUCGGCCCAACCCAAUUCUAAUUCGGGUCAGGCCCAAUACCCACAAAAUUAAAUCUGAUUUUUUGUAACUAUUCCUUCAUACAAAGAUCAACAUAAUUCUGGAAAUUUCCAAAGAGAGAGAGAAAGGGAGUUCUUGAGAAAAAUCCCAAAUCCGACCAAAAUUAAGUCCCGAAAUCCGAAGCUCAUGAAGAGAAAAUUGUUGUACGUCGUGUUGGCUUCAAUUUGAGCUAGAAAUCAACCAAUAAGGAGAAGAUUUUAUGUGGUGCUGCAAAUUCAAGGUUGAGACAAUAUUGGACAACAUAUACGUAUAAACGCUAAAGGUACAAAUACUCAUUUUGGAGAGCCGCCAACUUAGGAUUCUACUCAACGAGUUUGAAGUGCUCCAUUGUCUCGGAGCCCAAACUUUGGGUACUAAUCCUUAUAAUGUAUAUAUUUGUGUAUUUAGGGGUACGAUGGGGCCCUGUCCCGUCAUAUGCUAUUGUUAAUUCUCUUAGAGGUCUGUAGACAUAUGAGUGGGUUGUAUAUAGAUGUUGUCCGGUGUACUAGUAUGACUUAUGUUUUUGGACGUUUACAUUCAGAAUGGAAGCCUUGUCGGCUUACAUAUUAUGUUAUCUUAUUUUUGACAAUUAAGACUCCCCAAGAAAUAGCUGAUUUUGGUAUAUAUAUAAGUGACCGUUUGAGAUAACGUGCUACCCAU